rnacentral:rRNA from 1 species
GACGAACGCUGGCGGCGUGCUUAACACAUGCCAGUCGAACGGACAGGCCCUGCUUUUGCGGGGUGCACGUGUGGCGAGCGGGGGAGUAACACGCGAGUAACCUGCCCUUGACUGUGGGAUAUCUUCAGGAAACUGGGGCGAAUACCGGAUAGGAGCUCCUGCUGCACGGGGGUGGUUGGAAAGUUUCGGCUGUUGUGGAUGGACUCGCGGCUUAUGAGCUUGUUUGUGAGGUAGUGGCUUACCACGGCUUUGACGGGUAGCCGGCCUGGGAGGGUGACCGGCGACAUUGGGACUGCGAUACGCCGCAGACUCGUACGGUCCGCAGCAGUCGGGAACAUUGCACAAUGGGCGGACGCCUGAUGCGGCAGCGCCGCGUGCGUGAUGCCGUCCUUCGGGUUGUAAACCGCUUUCGCCUGUGCCGAAGCCUGAGUGACGGUACUGGGUCAAGAAGCACCGGCUAACUACGUG